AAAAGAUUUGCUACCGUUAAUUUCGGACAACAAUUCGCAAAGAAACAUUUGAAUAUUAUUGUUUUACAAACAGCCCUGCCUUGAGCUAGGCAAAUCUCGAAGAAAAUAUAGUUUUCCUCUUCAAAACUCUCUUGCCUGCAAGGAAGACCAAGUUGUUCUGUUUCAUUAGAUUUUUUGCGUAUUCAAGACAUCUAUAAUUCCGAGUUUGGCUGCUUUUGAAUAUAUUCAAUGUAUAUAUUGAACUACUCAUACGAGGAUGAAAGUAUAAUGUUCCAGAACUAGCUGUUGUUGCUAUCGUGUCUUGGAUUUAUAAAAAG